CUCAGAUCUCACAGACCAAACACUAUUGCCAUGGGGCUGGGAGCGGUCACUUCUCUUUUCUAAUGAACCAAAAGAGGAAAUUGGAAAAGGUGGCGAAGAACUGAGAAUUUAAUUCACCUGUCUCCAAAUCCUGGAUUGGGCAGUUAGGGCUGACAUGGAGGACAGACUGAGUUUUCAUUUCAUUCCGAUGAUAUUGUUGGCAAGUAGAAUAAGAGGAUGAAGCCAACUUGAUCAUGGUAGAAGAUACUUUUGAUGUGCUCUUGAACUUGAUUUGUAAGUAUUUUAUUGAGAAUAUUUAUGUCUAUGGUCAUCAAAGAGAUUGGCCUAUGAUAUUUUCUUUCUUUCUUUCUUUCUUUCCUUUUGGUUGGGUCUUUGGCUCCCACAUAUAUUCUUUCUUAGGCUCUCAGUCUACUGUGAUAUUCAUUAGCUAACAGGAACCCCAUCAAAUGGAUUUGAAGAUUGAAUUAGCUUGUUUCCAUCCAUCUGAUCUUUUCAAAAUUGUAGUCAAUGUGUUAAAAUGAUUUCUGCCCUAAAGGAUUUCUAUAAUGCAUAGACUGAUGUUUAUAUCUAUGCCCCCAAGAAGAAUCAAGCAACAAGGAAAUUAUAGAGCUGUCUUUUUGGUACUUUAUAAAUAAUCUUUCUCUGGAUUCAGAAGAUAACUCAGUUGUUGGAGUUCUUAUCUAGCAUUAAUGAAGCUCUGGGUUCGAUCCCCGGCACCAUGUAAACCAUGGUAUCUCAUGCUUGUAAUUCCAACACUUGGGAGGUACAGACAGGAAGAUCAGAAGGUCAAGGUCAUCCUUGGCUAUAUAGUAAGUUUGAGGCAAAACUUUUUUCUUGUCAGCCACAUUCUAAGGAAAAAAGACUAACUAUAUAACCCAAGACAACAGGAAAUCAACCACAAAAGAGCUGAAGUCAUCCAGGAGAUAUUUUUCACAAAACACAUAUUUUGUCAUGAUAUAUAGUCAAUGAUGUGAUGAGACUGUCCUUUAAGAACAUUCUGAACAUAACAGCAAGCUUUUAUAAAAUCUUCAGGAAUGCGUAGUCAGAUGAUUCUCAGUAAGAGGCAAAAUACAUACCUUUAAGGACAUAUCCUUUUUCAAUGUGGCAGCAAACCUUUUCUCUCUGCUUAGCUAUGAGAUCCUGACUGUAAAGCACCAUCACACUACUGUUAAAGAUCAAGGGAAAAAGAUGUGAAUACGGUAUGUAAGCACUGAAGUUUCUGUCAAAUGGGAUAUUAUUGUUAAUUAUUUUAAUAAAAAGUUUUAGAGGAAAACUAAUUGAAUAGGAAUGCUGUUAAUGCUGGGCAAGUAACUGAACAGAUUUUUCUUCUUGGUAAUGCUGGUAGAGAAAUGAUUCUUUGAGGCAGAAAAUACAUUUGGGGGUAUCAAUAUGGUGAAAUAUGUCUAUCCUUAGGUUUUAGUAUUAACUUGCUAAUGCUACAACCUUGACCAAGACAAUCUUUGCAAAUGUCUGGUUCCUUACUUGUAAAGGCAGAUGAAGUAUGCAUCAUCUUAAACAGUGGUUGUGAGGGUUAAGGUCUAUUGUGGGUCAGGAAGUCAUCAUGUUAAUUUUCUUUCUCUUUCCACUGUCCUUCCAGGUUUGUUUUAGAAACAGCCCACAAAAAGCCUCCAGUAUUCUAGCACGCCAUUCAUUUCUUGGUCUUCCAGAUACAUAUAACCGUGUCUCUCUAUAUCUAUCUAUCUAUCUAUCUAUCUAUCUAUCUAUCUAUCUAUCUAUCUAUCUAUCAUCUAUAUUCUUUGAAGGUUGGACUGAUUACCUUAAUUUUUUCAGAAAACACACAAUGCUCAACAGUUUUAUAAUAGGUACAAUAAAGUCAUGUUCAAUGAAUAACUGAAUUUCAUGAUCUAUAAUAGGGAAUACCUUUGAGGCUUCGGGCCAAGGUCCUUUGGUCUUAGGAUUUUUAGAUACUGCUAUGAAAUAUACAUAAAGUGUUUCCCUACUAGAGCCCUUCAAGAGCAAAAUAUCACAUGUAUAUAAUAACCUCUUUUUAAAUAUUUUUAUUUUUAUUUUAUGUGUAGGAGUGUAUUGCCUGCAUGUAGGUAGGUACACCUGUGUUCUACAGUGGCCGCAGAGAUCAGAAGAGGGCAUUGGAUACCCUGGAACUGGAGCUUUGUACCUAGAACAGCAAGUACAUUGUUGUCUUCAGAGUAUCCUGCAUUCAGAUUCUAUUGCCACUUGAAAAACUGUACUCAAACUCAGUGACAUCAAAUGAUUUUAUUAUGAGCAUGGAUUCUGUGGGUCAGAAAAUUAAAACCCCAUAAAAGAGCCAGCAUGACUCUUCUUCAGGAUACCUGGAUCUGAAUUGGAAAAUACAACAACUGGAGGCUCAUGGCUGCUCAUUAGAAUCAUCUAGAAGCAUUUUUAGCCACAGAAAGUCAUGCUGCUUCUGUGUUCAGACUGGGGCACUGGUUAGUCAGCUGUCCCUGUCACCUGAGCGUCCUUACAGCAUGGAGGCAUCAGGAUGAUCAUAUUCCUUACAAAUAAUACAGACUCAACCUUCUAACCUUGUAUCCCCAAAAAGGUAUAAACUGAGUCAGCUCUGUGUCCUA